CCUACGGGUGGCAGCAGUAGGGAAUCUUCCACAAUGGGCGAAAGCCUGAUGGAGCAACGCCGCGUGGGUGAAGAAGGUCUUCGGAUCGUAAAACACUGUUGUUAGAGAAGAAAGUGCGUGAGAGUAACUGUUCACGCUUCGACGGUAUCUAACCAGAAAGCAACGGCUAACUACGUGCCAGCAGCCGCGGUAAUACGGAGGUGGCAAGCGUUAACCGGAUUUAUUGGGCGUAAAGGGAACGCAGGCGGUUUUUUAAGUCUGAUGUGAAAGCCUUCGGCUUAACCGGAGUAGUGCAUUGGAAACUGGGAGACUUGAGUGCAGAAGAGGGGAGUGGAACUCCAUGUGUAGCGGUGAAAUGCGUAGAUAUAUGGAAGAACACCAGUGGCGAAGGCGGCUCUCUGGUCUGUAACUGACGCUGAGGUUCGAAAGCGUGGGUAGCAAACAGGAUUAGAUACCCCUGUAGUC
rnacentral:rRNA from 1 species